rnacentral:rRNA from 1 species
UGGGAUAGGCUGUCGGGCCUAAAAAUGCAAGUCGAGCGGUAGGAGAGAAGAUUGCUUCUCUUGAGAGCGGCGGACGGGUGAGUAAUGAACUAGGAAUCUGCCUGGUAGUGGGGGAUAACGUUCGGAAACGGACGCUAAUACCGCAUACGUCCUACGGGAGAAAGCAGGGGACCUUCGGGCCUUGCGCUAUCAGAUGAGCCUAGGUCGGAUUAGCUAGUUGGUGGGGUAAUGGCUCACCAAGGCGACGAUCCGUAACUGGUCUGAGAGGAUGAUCAGUCACACUGGAACUGAGACACGGUCCAGACUCCUACGGGAGGCAGCAGUGGGGAAUAUUGGACAAUGGGCGAAAGCCUGAUCCAGCCAUGCCGCGUGUGUGAAGAAGGUCGUCGGAUUGUAAAGCACUUUAAGC